rnacentral:rRNA from 1 species
CGGCGGACGGGUGAGUAAUGCCUAGGAAUCUGCCUGGUAGUGGGGGACAACGUUUCGAAAGGAACGCUAAUACCGCAUACGUCCUACGGGAGAAAGCAGGGGACCUUCGGGCCUUGCGAUAUCAGAUGAGCCUAGGUCGGAUUAGCUAGUUGGUGAGGUAAUGGCUCACCAAGGCGACGAUCCGUAACUGGUCUGAGAGGAUGAUCAGUCACACUGGAACUGAGACACGGUCCAGACUCCUACGGGAGGCAGCAGCC